rnacentral:lncRNA from 1 species
AUGCCGGUGCUGGGGGCAGAUGGCUUCACGCCCGCCUCGCUGCUCGGCAUGGCCCCAGCCGGCUCCAGGAGCCGGAGCCCUGGUUCUAAACCUCCUGCUCCUGGGCCCUGCUGUUGCUCAGGUUCCUCCGUGAUUUAUUUCACCGAGCUCAGCUCCGUGGUCGCCGGCUGCGAGCGCCGCAGAAGCGGCAGCGACACGACAGUGGUUGCACAAAUGAUUGCACAGGCGAAGCGAGGUGUACGAGAGCACACUCAGCUGUACCCAAAAUCAGCUCCUGAAAAUAUCCCCGACACUAUUUUCACCGAGUACCCCUUCCUUUCCAGAUGCCUUCCUCCAGCCCACGGCAGGAGGAUGAUUUUGAGUGUCGUUACUGCCAUAAAGCUCCCACAGGCAGUGCCGUGGGGUAAAAUAGCACGUUACGAUCCUUGUAGUGUCCCCGUGGAGGCUGUCCCCUGGGCAGCACCGCACCGAGCACGAUUUUCAGGGAACUGUCCCAGCAGCACCGAUGCACACAAGGCCACAGCUUUGACCCUGCUGCUCCCCGGGGAGCCCACGCCACCCCAACCCGGGGUGUCCUGGAGGCAGCACCGUGCAAAUGUGAGCAGCCCCAGCCCUUCACCCCGUGGCUUCCAAAAAGCAGAGCUGUGCUGCGGGCCCCUAGGGCUGUGGGGUCGCUGGGCAGAGACCCUCGGCCCUAAAGGAGGAGCCUUCCCAGUUCCCAAGAGGGUCUGUGCUGCUUUGGGGUGCUGGGCACAGCCCGGUGCUGGCUGCAGCUAUUGGGUUAACGGGGAGGAAGCACAAACUUCUCCUUUCCUGCACACCUGCUCCCACACCAGGAGCACGCAGCAGGCUGGCUCGCACGGCACCCUGACCCUCACCAGCCCCCUUCCCACGUUUCCCAGCCUGUCCCCGGGGGGCUCUGCAGGCAGCGAGGUCUUCCUGCCCAAGCUGCGGGAGGGCUGCUCUCAGACUGCCCCCAAAAUCCCUGGAGAAGAGCUCUCAGGGGGAUCUGAGGGGCUCGAGCUCGGUUUGCAAACCCCGGGGUGCCUGCAGCUGGCCCCAUGUCCCAGGAGCCGGAGCAGGGAGCCAGGGAAGGUCUGUGCCCUCCUCACCUGGGCAGAGAAGUCGAUCAGCUUCGGCAGCGGCUGCUUGUUCCCCUCCUCGCUCUUCAGGAAAUCCAGCAAGCUCCCUGCGGGCAGGCAGGGCGCGGGGCUCAGCUCCUCCAGGGCUGCGAUGCUUCUCCGGGACCCUCUGGGGCUCCCCAGCUCCAAAACCCACCCGCAGGCAGCACAGAUCCCACCCUGUCCCCUCCUCCUCCUCCUGUCCCCAUCCCUCCUCUCCCAGGGCCGUCCCCACGUCCCCCCAGAGCCCACGUCUCCCCCGGGGAUGGGGAGGGCAGCACCUUUCUCCAUGAACUCGGUGAUGAUGUAG